ACGUAGGGUGCAAGCGUUAAUCGGAAUUACUGGGCGUAAAGCGUGCGCAGGCGGUUAUGCAAGACAGAUGUGAAAUCCCCGGGCUCAACCUGGGAACUGCAUUUGUGACUGUAUAGCUAGAGUACGGUAGAGGGGGAUGGAAUUCCGCGUGUAGCAGUGAAAUGCGUAGAUAUGCGGAGGAACACCGAUGGCGAAGGCAAUCCCCUGGACCUGUACUGACGCUCAUGCACGAAAGCGUGGGGAGCAAACAGGAUUAGAUACCCUGGUAGUCCACGCCCUAAACGAUGUCAACUGGUUGUUGGACGGCUUGCUGUUCAGUAACGAAGCUAACGCGUGAAGUUGACCGCCUGGGGAGUACGGCCGCAAGGUUG
rnacentral:rRNA from 1 species